rnacentral:pre_miRNA from 1 species
GUGGCAUCUCAGUCUGGUUAUAGGGGUACAGUGAUCAUGUUGCGAUAAUUUCUCAAGUAACAGCCUCGUAGCUUGGUCACGAUAUCCAUAUGACACAGAUAGCCACUGUUUCAUCCUUUCCU